rnacentral:lncRNA from 1 species
AGCCCAUCAGGGUCUUUCCCGCCUUCUCCGCCGCCGGCUCAGCUUCGGUGUUGGUGGGCCGGUCUGCGGGCCACCCCCUCACCAUUCCUGUUGUGGGGCCCACACCAGCAACUCGCAGACUCCUGUUCCCUGUGCAGCCGACGUCUCUGCUGUCCCCACCCCCACCCUGCGGUCCCACUGCCAACAGCGUCUCCUCAGCGCAACGCUCAGCCCGGCGGCCGCCAUCUUCCCCGCAGACAUCACUGCAGGACGAUCACUGUCUGGCACGUCUCUCCUGCCAUGUCUGCCACAGAGGAGCACGACUGGAUCCCAGGUGGCCCGGAUAGAGCUGGUGGCGGGGCGGGCCGCGACCCCAGUCUCCUUGGGGUCCAAGCAUCUGCUUGCGAGGGGACGGAAGGAGUCGAGGUGGCCACGGCUCUUCUGGCUUCCUUGGAGGUCUCCAGAGCCCUUCCCGCGGAGCAGGGUUGGCCACAAGCCCCAGUGGAAGAGGAAUGCGGUAGAGAGCCGUUAGAGGAGUUGGAGAUGGAGGAAGGUGUAGAGAUGCAGGAGGACGAGGAAGAGGGUGAGGCUGACUUCGACUUGGAGGACGUGGAGGAGGAGGAGCACCUGUCUGGAGAGGGCGAGGAAGAGGAGGACGAGAGUGAGCAGGAGGGUGCGGCAGAGGUUACAGGCCUUGGGUUCUGCGUGGAGACGUUUGGGCCCCUGUUCUGGAGUCACGUCGACUCCUUUCUACACAACUUCCGUGACAACAAACAUGUCCUGUUCCGGCCUCCCACUGACCGCCUGAUGGCCAGGGGCCGCUCCCAGCCACCCUCGGACCCUGGAGAAGGUCCGGUGCCUCCUCAGGAGCAGGAAGACCUGGGAGAGGGAGGCAGAGUCUUGCAGGGCCUAGACUCUGCUGCUGAUUUGAAGUUGGGAUAUUUUCCCUGCCAACUUUUGACCCCAAUGUCUGCAUCAUUCUGCCCCAAUGAUGAGGGUGAGGAUCAGUAUGAAAACACUGAUGAAGAGGAAGAGGAUGGAAAUGAAAAACCUGAAGGACUCUAAAUGGAUGUGGUCUCAGCAAAGAGCAGCUCUGGAUAAUACAGGUAUUGUUGUAUAGGCUUUAGUACGACAUAACCAUUCCUGACACAUAC